GAUGAACGCUCGCGGGAGGCCUAACACAUGCAAGCCGAGCGGUAUUGUUUCUUCGGCAAUGAGAGAGCGGCGUACGGGUGCGUAACACGUGUGCAACCUGCCUUUAUCUGGGGGAUAGCCUUUCGAAAGGAAGAUUAAUACUCCAUAAUAUAUUGAACGGCAUCGUUUAAUAUUGAAAGCUCCGGCGGAUAGAGAUGGGCACGCGCAAGAUUAGCUAGUUGGUGAGGUAACGGCUCACCAAGGCGAUGAUCUUUAGGGGGCCUGAGAGGGUGAUCCCCCACACUGGUACUGAGACACGGACCAGACUCCUACGGGAGGCAGCAGUGAGGAAUAUUGGUCAAUGGGUGCAAGCCUGAACCAGCCAUCCCGCGUGAAGGACGACUGCCCUAUGGGUUGUAAACUUCUUUUGUAUAGGGAUAAACCUACCCUCGAGAGGGUAGCUGAAGGUACUAGACGAAUAAGCACCGGCUAACUCCGUG
rnacentral:rRNA from 1 species